rnacentral:rRNA from 1 species
UUUUCCGGUUGAUCCUGCCGGACCCGACUGCUAUCAGAGUGGGACUAAGCCAUGCGAGUCGACAUAGCAAUAUGUGGCAUACGGCUCAGUAACACGUAGUCAACAUGCCCAGGGGACGUGGAUAACCUCGGGAAACUGAGGAUAAACCGCGAUAGGUCAUCACUUCUGGAAUGGGUAAUGACUUAAAUCUAUAUGGCCCCUGGAUUGGACUGCGGCCGAUCAGGCUGUUGGUGAGGUAAUGGCCCACCAAACCUGUAACCGGUACGGGCUCUGAGAGGAGGAGCCCGGAGAUGGGCACUGAGACAAGGGCCCAGGCCCUAUGGGGCGCAGCAGGCGCGAAACCUCUGCAAUAGGCGAAAGCUUGACAGGGUUACUCUGAGUGAUUUCCCGUUAAGGAGAUCUUUUGGCACCUCUAAAAAUGGUGCAGAAUAAGGGGUUGGGCAAGUCUGGUGUCAGCCGCCGCGGUAAUACCAGCACCCCGAGUGGUCGGGACGUUUAUUGGGCCUAAAGCAUCCGUAGCCGGUUCUACAAGUCUUCCGUUAAAUCCACCUGCUUAACAGAUGGGCUGCGGAAGAUACUAUAGAGCUAGGAGGCGGGAGAGGCAAGCGGUACUCGAUGGGUAGGGGUAAGAUCCGUUGAUCCAUUGAAGACCACCAGUGGCGAAGGCGGCUUGCCAGAACGCGCUCGACGGUGAGGGAUGAAAGCUGGGGGAGCAAACCGGAUUAGAUACCCGGGUAGUCCCAGCUGUAAACGAUGCAGACUCGGUGAUGAAUUGGCUUAUUGCUAAUUCAGUG